AAAAUGCUGGUACCACGGCAACAGUAUCCCUUUGUGUCUAUGGCGAAGCAAGAUGUUCAGGACCUAUUAUUUUGGGGUCUGGAAAACACCACCUGUUUAAGCCCAACAGUGCAGAUAUAUUCAAGAUUCAUCUUACAGAUAUUGGUGAAAUCUACAAAAUACGCAUUGGUCAUGACAACAGUGGGGAUGAUCCCAGGUGGUAUGUGGAGGAAGUUAUACUUGAGAAUAUGGCCACAAGUGACCUACUUUGUUUAACUGUUGAUUCCUGGAUAUCUGAGAGUGAAGACGAUG
rnacentral:lncRNA from 1 species